ensembl:misc_RNA Metazoa_SRP Metazoan signal recognition particle RNA
GCUGGUCAUUAUGCCGACCGGGUGUCCGCGCUAAGUUCGGUAUCAAUAUGGUGACCUCCUGGGAGCAGGAGGCCAUCAGGUUGCCUAAAGACGGGAGAACUGGCCCAGGUCAGAAAGGGACCAGGUCAGGACUCUGGCACCAAUCGGUAGUGGGACUAGUGGGACUGUUCCUGGC